AUGUUCGUUAACUGAUCACCCACUGUAUAAAAUUAUAAUAUGCAAUAUGAAUUAUAGUAGAUAUAAGCAGAAUUUAUUCAUAAAACAUGGAUAAUUUAUUCAUACUUUCAGAUAUGUGCUGAUGUAAUAAUAAAGAAAUCUUACAAAGCAAAAUAUUAUUAGAAACAUUUUCUUCAGUGAAAAUAUUAUAUAUUAUUGCUUAUUUUCUACACUAAUGAUGAUUGCAUCAGCAGAAAUCUUUUGAAAGAAGACAAAUAAACAAAAGUCAUUAAAAAGUAAUGAUUAUGACAAAACUUCAAAAUCAUUAUACACUUACUUCACUUUAUACGUGAUCUUGUAUUACAUUUGGAUGAGGAAGUCACCUAUUAAUAGAAAAGUAAUUGAAUAGACUUGCAUCUGGCUUAAUGUGGUGAAUGGACAGCUAAGUCAGAUAAGGAGAAAGCAGAUAACAUGAAAUUGAAGAUAAGGCAUUUCCUGUAUAGUCAAGCAUGUCGGUGCAUUCCAUAUGUGGUUUAUUUGACAGCUGUAAUUUUUAUGGUCAUGAGAUAAUGUUUUAAUAUAAAAUUUCAGCAAAAGUAAGCCAGUAAAAUACCUGCAAUUACCAUGAUACUUUAUCCAUUGUACAUUAUCCAUAAUGAUACAUUAUACAUGAUACAUUAUCCAUG